rnacentral:ncRNA from 20 species
CUCUUAUCAAGAGAGGCGGAGGGACUGGCCCCAUGAAGCCCGGCAACCUACAUAUGUGAGGUGCUAAAUCCAGAGAACCAUCAGGUUCGAAGAUAAGAG